UUUUUGAGAUAGGGUCUUGAAAGAACCUAGUGGGGAAACCCCCACUCAAUUCCCGAUUCGGCGUGCACCCAAGAAUCACAAACAGACGA
rnacentral:pre_miRNA from 7 species